UAAGUUAUUAAGGGCGCACGGUGGAUGCCUUGGCACUAGAAGCCAAUGAAGGACGUUACUAACGACGAUAUGCUUUGGGGAGCUGUAAGUAAGCUUUGAUCCAGAGAUUUCCGAAUGGGGAAACCCAGCAUGAGUUAUGUCAUGUUAUCGAUAUGUGAAUACAUAGCAUAUCAGAAGGCACACCCGGAGAACUGAAACAUCUUAGUACCCGGAGGAAGAGAAAGAAAAUUCGAUUCCCCUUAGUAGCGGCGAGCGAAACGGGAAGAGCCCAAACCAACAAGCUUGCUUGUUGGGGUUGUAGGACACUCUAUACGGAGUUACAAAGGACGACAUUAGACGAAUCAUCUGGAAAGAUGAAUCAAAGAAGGUAAUAAUCCUGUAGUCGAAAAUGUUGUCUCUCUUGAGUGGAUCCUGAGUACGACGGAACACGUGAAAUUCCGUCGGAAUCUGGGAGGACCAUCUCCUAAGGCUAAAUACUCUCUAGUGACCGAUAGUGAACCAGUACCGUGAGGGAAAGGUGAAAAGCACCCCGGAAGGGGAGUGAAAUAGAACCUGAAACCGUGUGCUUACAAGUAGUCAGAGCCCGUUAAUGGGUGAUGGCGUGCCUUUUGUAGAAUGAACCGGCGAGUUACGAUUUGAUGCAAGGUUAAGCAGUAAAUGUGGAGCCGUAGCGAAAGCGAGUCUGAAUAGGGCGUUUAGUAUUUGGUCGUAGACCCGAAACCAGGUGAUCUACCCUUGGUCAGGUUGAAGUUCAGGUAACACUGAAUGGAGGACCGAACCGACUUACGUUGAAAAGUGAGCGGAUGAACUGAGGGUAGCGGAGAAAUUCCAAUCGAACCUGGAGAUAGCUGGUUCUCUCCGAAAUAGCUUUAGGGCUAGCCUCAAGUGAUGAUUAUUGGAGGUAGAGCACUGUUUGGACGAGGGGCCCCUCUCGGGUUACCGAAUUCAGACAAACUCCGAAUGCCAAUUAAUUUAACUUGGGAGUCAGAACAUGGGUGAUAAGGUCCGUGUUCGAAAGGGAAACAGCCCAGACCACCAGCUAAGGUCCCAAAAUAUAUGUUAAGUGGAAAAGGAUGUGGCGUUGCCCAGACAACUAGGAUGUUGGCUUAGAAGCAGCCAUCAUUUAAAGAGUGCGUAAUAGCUCACUAGUCGAGUGACACUGCGCCGAAAAUGUACCGGGGCUAAACAUAUUACCGAAGCUGUGGAUUGUCCUUUGGACAAUGGUAGGAGAGCGUUCUAAGGGCGUUGAAGCAUGAUCGUAAGGACAUGUGGAGCGCUUAGAAGUGAGAAUGCCGGUGUGAGUAGCGAAAGACGGGUGAGAAUCCCGUCCACCGAUUGACUAAGGUUUCCAGAGGAAGGCUCGUCCGCUCUGGGUUAGUCGGGUCCUAAGCUGAGGCCGACAGGCGUAGGCGAUGGAUAACAGGUUGAUAUUCCUGUACCACCUAUAAUCGUUUUAAUCGAUGGGGGGACGCAGUAGGAUAGGCGAAGCGUGCGAUUGGAUUGCACGUCUAAGCAGUAAGGCUGAGUAUUAGGCAAAUCCGGUACUCGUUAAGGCUGAGCUGUGAUGGGGAGAAGACAUUGUGUCUUCGAGUCGUUGAUUUCACACUGCCGAGAAAAGCCUCUAGAUAGAAAAUAGGUGCCCGUACCGCAAACCGACACAGGUAGUCAAGAUGAGAAUUCUAAGGUGAGCGAGCGAACUCUCGUUAAGGAACUCGGCAAAAUGACCCCGUAACUUCGGGAGAAGGGGUGCUCUUUAGGGUUAACGCCCAGAAGAGCCGCAGUGAAUAGGCCCAAGCGACUGUUUAUCAAAAACACAGGUCUCUGCUAAACCGUAAGGUGAUGUAUAGGGGCUGACGCCUGCCCGGUGCUGGAAGGUUAAGAGGAGUGGUUAGCUUCUGCGAAGCUACGAAUCGAAGCCCCAGUAAACGGCGGCCGUAACUAUAACGGUCCUAAGGUAGCGAAAUUCCUUGUCGGGUA
rnacentral:rRNA from 1 species